AUUGAACGCUGGCGGCAGGCCUAACACAUGAAAGUCGAGCGAGCGGCGGACGGGUGAGUAAUGUAUGGGGACUGCCCGAUAGAGGGGGAUAAAUACUGGAAACGGUGGCUAAUACCGCAUACUAUCGGAUAACACAGAUGGGAUUAGCUAGUAGGUGGGGUACAGGCGCACCCAGGAGACGAUCUAUAGCUGGUCUGAGAGGAUGAUCAGCAACACGGGGACUGAGACACGGCCCCGACUCCUACGGAGGCAGCAGUGGGGAAUAUUGCACAAUGGGCGCAAGCCUGAUGCAGCCAUGCCGCGUGUAUGAAGAAGGCCUUAGGGUUGUAAAGUACUUUCAGAGGGGAGGCGUUACCCGCAGAAGAAGCACCGGCUAACUCCGUGCCAGCAGCCGCGGUAAUUC
rnacentral:rRNA from 1 species